rnacentral:tRNA from 2 species
GGUUUUAUAGUUUAUAAUAAAAUAUUGGGUUGCAAAUCCAAAGUAGAUUAAUUCUAAGACUU